rnacentral:tRNA from 1 species
GUCCCUGUAGUUCAAUGGAUAGAACCGCGGUUUCCUAAACCGUUAAUUCGAGUUCGAGUCUCGACGGGGGCACCA